rnacentral:tRNA from 1 species
CGGGAUGUAGCUCAGCCUGGUAGAGCGCUUCGUUCGGGACGAAGAGGUCGCAGGUUCGAAUCCUGUCAUCCCGA